AGUUGAUUGCUUUCGGCGUAAAGAGUGGUUAAGGGAAAAUUAAAACUAAAGCUAAACGACCUCAUAGCUGUUAUACGCACAUGAACGUAUGAAGCCCAACUACGAAAGUGACUUUAAAAUUCUGACUCCACGAAAGCUAUGACACAAACUGGGAUUAGAUACCCCACUAUGCCUAGCCCUAAACAUUGAUACUAACCUACUUAUUUUUAUCCGCCAGGGUACUACGAGCAUCAGCUUAAAACCCAAAGGACUUGGCGGUGCUUUAGAUCCACCUAGAGGAGCCUGUUCUAGAACCGAUAAUCCCCGUUAAACCUCACCUUUUCUUGCCAUGUCCGCCUAUAUACCGCCGUCGUCAGCUUACUCUGUGAGGAACUUGUCGUAAGCACAACCGGCAAAGCCCAAAACGUCAGGUCGAGGUGUAGCGAAUGGAAAGGGAAGAAAUGGGCUACAUUCAAUAGUUAUAAUGAAUACGAAUGAUGUCUUGAAACAGACAUCUGAAGGAGGAUUUAGCAGUAAGCAGAGAAUAGAGCGCCCUGCUGAAAUUGGCCCUGAAGCGCGUACACACCGCCCGUCACUCUCCCCGAGCUAAUAGAGACAAAUUACUAAUAAACAAAACCUGCAAA
rnacentral:rRNA from 1 species